ACAUUUUGUGUUUACGACUCGCACCUCAACAGCAGCUCUUCUACCUGUUGCAUCAGAUAUCUAUUAAUCACUCUGAGAACAUGGUGACCUGCAACACUAUUACCCUCAAUGCAUAGAGGGUUUAUUAUUGCACCUGCAUGUUAACCUCGACAGAAGCUCUUCUAGCUGUUGAACCAGACAUCUCUCGAUCGAUCCUUCUCAAACAAACAUGCUUUCUUGUUUUAUCUUUGGACGUUCGUCGUGAGAACAUGAUCUGCUAUCAUGCAUCUUCGCCCGACCUUCCUGCAGCUCCUCUGUUUCUACUUUCAAAUUCUCUGUUUGAUAUCUUGCUGUGAAGGAAAUAGCUACGCGAAAGAGAAAGGCGAUAUUAUCGAACUGAACUAUCAACAACUUGACUCGGGCUGUUGUCAAUUUACCCUGUUUUAUGGUGAUGUACCAUUCAACGAGGAUGGAAUAGCACUUGGGACAGGACAGUACGACGAAAAAAAGCAUAAACGGACAACCGUUAGGAAGGUCUGCCUCAAUGCCAAUUGCGCAUUAACAGUGAGUAUCAGCAACCUGGAGAUGAAGGAUUCUGGCCGCUACUCGUGCAUCUUUACGUGUCAGAAUACUACGUCCAAUCAGACUCACAAUCUUCAAGUUUACCGGCCUCCUGGAAAGGCACAUUGCUCUUGGCCUGACGAAGACCCGAUAACAGUAUCCCCAUCUUAUGUACUUACACCUUUAGACUGUUCGGCUGAGAAAGGUUAC